rnacentral:pre_miRNA from 1 species
ACAACAUUUGGACCGUCGUUCUACCGAGUAAUUAUACCCACCCGGUGGAAGAUCUUACCUCCGUCGA